rnacentral:pre_miRNA from 1 species
UUCAUACUCCCUCCGUCCGAAAAAGCUUGUCCCAAGCUUGUCCCUCAAAUGGAUGUAUCUAGCACUAACUUGGUGCUACAUACAUCCAUUUGAGGGACAAGCUUUUCCGGACGGAGGGAGUAUAUA